CCUACGGGUGGCUGCAGUAGGGAAUAUUGCUCAAUGGGGGAAACUCUGAAGCAGCAACGCCGCGUGGAGGAUGACGGUUUUCGGAUUGUAAACUUUUUUUGUUAGAGAAGAUAAUGACGGUAUCUAACGAAUAAGCACCGGCUAAUUCCGUGCCAGCAGCCGCGGUAAUACGGCGGGUGCAAGCGUUACUCGGAAUCACUGGGCGUAAAGCGGGCGUAGGCGGGGUAGCAAGUCAGAUGUGAAAUCCUAUGGCUUAACCAUAGAACUGCAUUUGAAACUGUUAUUCUAGAGUAUAGGAGAGGUAGGGGGAAUUCUUGGUGUAGGGGUGAAAUGCGUAGAGAUCAAGAAGAAUACUCAUUGCGAAGGCAACCUGCUAGAACAUAACUGACGCUGAUGCGCGAAAGCGUGGGGAGCAAACAGGAUUAGAUACCCCGGUAGUC
rnacentral:rRNA from 1 species